rnacentral:rRNA from 1 species
CUUUAGGAAGACUGCCGGUGACAAACCGGAGGAAGGUGGGGAUGACGUCAAGUCAGCAUGCCCCUUACACUCUGGGCUACACACGUACUACAAUGGUUGGGACAAAGGGCAGCAAGCGAGCAAUCGCAAGCGAAUCUCAUCAAACCCAGCCUCAGUUCAGAUUGCAGGCUGCAACUCGCCUGCAUGAAGGAGGAAUCGCUAGUAAUCGCAGGUCAGCAUACUGCGGUGAAUUCGUUCCCGGGCCUU